rnacentral:lncRNA from 1 species
UUUCCAUGCGCAGGUAAUAGAUAGAGGAAGCAACAGUUAGGAGGUCUGGUUCUGCAUCAGCACAGAGACAUCAUCAUAACCAGUCAGUCACAAGAUUUGUACAGAGGUUGUUUAUGGUUGGCAUGUACAUUAAUAGUCUACCAAGAGUCUGUAAAUGAGUGUUGUAAAUAGUACAAAUAUAUACAAAUGUGUUGACUAAUUUAAGUUAUUAUGUUCUAUUUAUGGAUUUGAUAAUGUGAAAUGAGC